rnacentral:lncRNA from 1 species
GAGAUUGCAUGAAUCAGCUCGAGUCGAGCUGAUGGCAGGUCAGAGCGAUCGCACGAAUCAGCUCGAGUCGAGCUGAUGGCAGGUCAGAGCGAUCGCACAAAUCAGCCCGAGUCGAGCUGAUCUUCGUCCAAGUCAGAGUUUCUAUUGCCAUGUGUAUGGUAAUAAGAAACUCCUGAAUCAGCUCGGCUCGAAUGGAACGACACUGAUUUUGUAGAGAAUUACCUGUGGAAACUGGAUCUGCGAGAUAUUGAUGACGUAAGGGUGCAACUAUGAUUCCUCACGCGAUGUGCGCCCGGCCGCGGACGUCCUCCUGUUCUGCCCUAUUCGUUAUCGUACGAAUACAAAAACCGCGCACCGUGACACUACAGAUCCAAGACGACACCAGCCAGUAAAGGAGAUCAAUUUCACAACCAAUAAAUGAAAUGUAACGUCAAACAC